AGGUUGAUAUUCCCUGUGUGAAGAUGCAGACACCUACAAGGAGCAGGUGGACACUGUAUCAAGCAGUGCUUAGUGAGUCGGACCUCUGAAGCAGAAGGAGCCGUAAAGUUGCUGGAGUAGAGGCUGACAUUUUCAAAGCCAAAAGCUGUUCUACAGUCCAUUAGCCUCUUGCACCGAGCUGGGACUGAGGUCUAUAACAAAGAGAAAGUAAGAUUGGAAAAAUCACGUGAGACCAAAAUGGCAGGAGCAAGGUGAAAAGUUUAAUAAGGUCGGCUCCUUUGUCUGCUGGCACCUGAAACCUUAGAAGCAGUCACUUUCCCAGAAAGAUCAGAAGAAUCCUACAAAAAGCAGGAAAGGGUUGGCUUGCCCUAGGUGCUCUGCAUGUUCAAUACCUGGCUGGGUUUUUAGCUAUCAGUUAUCACUGAAGUGUUUUUGCAUAACUGACAGCCACCAAAUUUCGGUGACACACAGGAGUAAGGUGCUAAGUUCACACACAUGGGACUGGUGUGGGCUGGACUGGGGUUAGGACUCUAAACAGGUGAUUGGACAUAGAUUUGCCCCUUGUUGGGGUAAAUAAACACUACACAGAAUAAGACUUUUCACACCACCGUCUGAGGGACAUGGAAGCCUUCUGUCAAGCCCUGUUCACGUGCCAAGCCCAGCCUCACAGUUGUUGGAGUAUGUUCUUCCCACAGAAGUGGCAGAGGAGGAAACCAACUUGGAAAUGGCUUGUCUAGAGCAAGAGCCACCUUAAUCUGGUCCAUUUCAAGAGUAACGGAAUUGUUACCAAGGUGAUGAUGCUUCUACGACCUUGAUCACUUACCUUCAUACAUGUAGAUAGGACAGUGAACUCAUGACACCUUUCUAAGAUAUAUUUGGAAUAUUCAUUAGAAACUUCUUAUUGACUGACCUUCUAAAAAGUUUUGGUGUGUAUAGUUUGUCGUGUAAAGUUGCCCAUCUCACUUUUACAUUAACAAACAACGAACAACAA
rnacentral:lncRNA from 1 species